rnacentral:tRNA from 1 species
GGGGCUAUAGCUCAGCUGGGAGAGCAUCUGCCUUACAAGCAGAGGGUCGGCGGUUCGAUCCCGUUUAGCUCCACCA